GGAGGCUUAUUGUUAAUCACAUAGCCUAUCGAAACGAUCAAAACCAACGUGGUACCGAAUGACAUCUGCGCACCAAUCAGGUGUAUUCACUGUUACUUUACCUGUUCUGUGCUUGUAAAAUAUUCACCGUGUCUGCGUAAUACCAGAGAACGUCUCCCUCUCUCUCUAUCUAUCGCUAUCUCUCUCUGUUUCUCUGCAGAGCACGUGUCAUUGUCAGUAUCUGUAUGGGAGGGGUAGAGCUAGGGGAGAUCGUCCACUAGUUAAUCGAUCACGGAUAGCUCAGUCUCUCGGACGGAUAAAAAAUAAAAAGUCAUGCUUAGCAUGUUCUUGUUUUGUUUUUGUUUUUGAAAGGCAAAAAAGACACUAUCCUCUUUGGAAUACCGCUCUUAUGAUACUCAGCAUGUGGACAAAUCCAGAGCUUGACGGCCUUUCCGUGUCUAUUAUGGUUGCUGCUAUAACUGGACAAUUGCUUGGAGGAGUGCUUUAGCGCAGGGCCAAUUGUUGCAGAGGAAAAAUAAUAUAUAAAGAAUGUGCUUCUGGGUAAAAAUCCAACGGACAAAGCAAGAGUUGUCCGAUGCGGGAGUAGGUGGACUUUCCCAGCCCCUGGGCCUCAACCGCGGUCUCACGGAAGAAGAAAAAGACCUUGUCAUCAUCAGGGUUUUCACUUUCUGGGACCCAAAAGGAACCAACAAAUUUUGGUUC